rnacentral:rRNA from 1 species
GACGAACGCUGGCGGCGUGCUUAACACAUGCAAGUCGAACGGUGAAGCGCCUUCCUUUUUGGUGGGUGUGGAUGAGUGGCGAACGGGUGAGUAACACGUGAGUAACCUGCCCCCUUCUUCUGGAUAACCGCAUGAAAGUGUGGCUAAUACGUGAUAUUCUGGGUCUGUCGCAUGAUGGGUCUGGGAAAGAUAUUGUUUCGGUGUGGGAUUGGCUCGCGGCCUAUCAGCUUGUUGGUGGGGUGAUGGCCUACCAAGGCGGUGACGGGUAGCCGGCCUGAGAGGGUGGACGGUCACACGGGGACUGAGACACGGACCAGACUCCUACGGGAGGCAGCAGUGGGGAAUAUUGCACAAUGGGCGCAAGCCUGAUGCAGCGACGCCGCGUGAGGGAUGGAGGCCGUCGGGUUGUGAACCUCUUUAGCCAGUGAAGCAGGCCUGCCUCGUUUGUGGGUGGGUUGACGGUAGCUGGAUAAGAAGCGCCGGCUAACUACGUG